CUGAAGCCAGGGGUUGAAUUAAAAUUUUUCAACUAGCAAGUGAGACAUACCCUGAGGUGUGUGUAGAACUCUGGUCCAAUUGCCUCCGACACUGUACGAGUGGGAUGAACCUCAUAUCGGUUCAAAUUAGACUCACUGCACAGAAAACAGAAGGAAAAAAAAGCACGUAAAUACUCAGACACAUAAAAACAAAGGGAAACUCAAAUAUUUUAAUGCUGUGCACACGUACCUGCUAACAAACAGGUCUGGUUCAUACUGAACAAAACUCUGCAGGUGAACACUGUUGUCCUCCAAAGUAUGCUCUCGCUCCACACUGUCACUGUAAAAGAGCCAGAUAGUUACAUAAACUGUGUGGCCUUUAAAAGAAGACAAAACAUUAUCACUGUCUUGUGGCAAUGUUUAUUGAAAUCUUCAGAAUCUCUAAACUGUGUGCAUGAAGUACCCAGAACCUGCUGUUUUAGUGAGCUACCUGGCAGCAUUGAGCUUCAUCUGGACUCGACUGUGCAGAGAUGUGCAACUGAACUCAAACUCCAACAUGAAGUUAACCUGCAAACAAAGAGGGGAACAGGCAGCUCGAGAUACACUUUUCACCUGGAGUAAGUGAAGUAUGAGUGGGCUCAGGCGAGAGUGAUGGAGCUAUUUCCUGGGCAUGGACGUACCUUUGACUGGGAGCGAAAUACUGGAUAGCUGACAUUACACGAGUGGCUGUUAGCGCCAAGCGCUGUACACUCAAUCUUAAAGUGGGCAUCUUCCUACAAUAAACGAGAGAAGAAGAAAGAGAGGUUGUGUUUGGUAACACGUAGAUAAAUGCAUAUGGUCAGUUACACGUGGUGCUGCAUGUGUUAGCGGUGUGUGAGUGUUGUCUACCCGAAUGCUGAGGCUGGAGAAGUGCAGGUUGCGUGAAUAAUGCAGCGUCAGGCUGGUGUUGUAGGCGUUUUCCAGUCUGUUCUGGAGCUGCACCUCCACCGCCAGACGCCUACGAGGGCUGCGAAUCACAUAAGGCUUCUGUCUGUGGAGGAAACACAAUGAGAGCUCCCUGAAACCUAACAACUGAGAAGACAUAGAAAACAGAGGAAUUUCUCAAAUCUGUACCUUGUCCCAGAGAUGUCCAUAUGAGCCUGCAGCACCAGAUCUGUGGUACACACAUCAUCCUCACCACAGUCUUUAAAGAACGGGAUCUAGAGAGGUACAAGUUGAGAGCUUAGCUUGUUUAGAGGAGAAAAGAGGAAGGGAAUGGGAUCCAAUAAGAAAUCUAGUAAUGCUAACAGGCACCAUUGUGCCACUCACAGAUUUCUUGACAGUGGUUGGCCAGCCUUCAUCCAAUACCGGACCACUCUCAGUGUUGUUGAUCUUAAACCGCAGUGAGAAGCUGAUUGGACGGAUGUAAUCUGCUGUGUCCUAUGUCGACAGAAACAAAUGCUAGGGUUAACAACGGGUCACAAGUGUCACUCUGUCUGUCCUGAUGCGUGUGUAUGAAAGAUGGAAAGUAUUUUAAUGUGGCUGGUGCGUGUACAGACACUCACAUAGACAUGGAAGGGCAGUUUGUAGCAGAGAGUUUGUCCUGUUUGAACUUGGACUGCCAGCUGGGUUUGUCUGUGAGAGCUGUCGUCAAACAGGGCCCGUGCAGACAACUUCCUGUCAUCCAACAUCGCUGACAACCAAAGAUCUGAGGAGUGAGCAGGUAAUUGAGACAGAUGGUGAGUGCUGGAAAAUUCCCGUUUUAAUAAUGAGUUGUGUGCCUGGCCAAUUUACAACACUUAUAUUUCUUGUUAUAAGGAUUAGACAGUGCAAGCCUGUUAAUGUUGGGUUUAUGAAAAAAUAUAUAGGGUUAUACCAAAGCUGUUGCUGUGUGGUCCAGGGGAGCGGGAGAUAGCUGUGAAGCAGGCAGUGGCAUUCAGACAGGCUGAUUCUCUGCCACCCCUCUGGCAGGUCUUCUGAAUGACGUUGAUGGAGUGCGGCUGGAAGGACAGACUCACAUUGAUCUGGACUAUGCUUCGAGAGCUGCGGACAGGAGGGACAGUCAUUGAAAAAACAGAAUCCAAUUUUUUAGCUAGAGGGUAUUUAUUUAGCCAAUAGAUGAUUUAGAUCUACGUAUAAAAUUAAAUAUUGUUCUUUUGUAUUGUUCAUUCUUUUAAAAGUGAAAGCUAGCGGGCUAUAGGUGGUACAUUAAAUGUAUUGUCUGGAUUCAUUAUCUCCCAGUGUUUGCAGCUGAAAAUAAAAUCUGUACUGGCAAGGACUUUCCCUUCCUUCUGUGCCUUUCCUCCUCUGUGACUACCCACCUGAGCAUUACAGCACUGCCCUGUGCUCCUACUGCCAAGUCUAUUAGCUCAUCUCCAUCCAAGUCCAACCGAGCACUCACGCUGCGGCCAAAAUACUGCAGGGAGGGGGAAAUCGAUGACCCCGGAAUACGCUGUGAGGACAGGAGAGGCAGAGUGAAAAACAGAAAUUAGUUUGACUGACUUCUGAAAUGCACCAGCGAGUUUGUAGUUGUAGGGAACUGGCAAGUACCUGUUUAUAACUGUGGUUGAUGUAAAUACCAUCUCCAUGGUAGACAUAGAUGGCCCCCCUGUGUUCAUCCUCUAACGGGGCUCCCACCAGCAGGUCGGUGAAGCCAUCAUGGUUGAGAUCAGGAGCGGCUGCUAGUGCAUAACCAAACCUGGCAUCCUGGGACUUUUCCUCUGACUUCAGAGUACCAUUAGAUACAAACACCUCCUCCUGAAAGACAAGAAAGUGGAGGGAAGAAAAGGUGGAGGAGUUGGCGGUAACAGGAUCCAUUGCAGAGAAGAGCGAUCAGUGUCACUGCUGUCUUACCCCACUGAGCGUGUAGAUGUACACUCUACCAGCCUCCUUGUUUCCUGAGCCAAGGUACAUUGGAGCAGCAACAAGAAGGACAUCAGUGAUGCCAUCCUUGUCGAUAUCCAGCCCACACACCUCACUGCCAUAAUGAACAAAAAAAAGUGAUUGAAACGAAUGAAGAGAGACCAAAUAGGAGAACUUUACCUGUUCUCCGUUGAGGGCCUGUACGAUGUUGACAUCUCC